AUGUGACGCGCGGGCGGAGUGCUCUCGGACCUCGGAGCGCACACAGCGGUGCAAGUGGGUGCCACUCCGAAUCCCCACGCUCAUUAUUUCUCCCCGGCGGUGACAGCGCUUCUGGAAAGACAGCGCGAUGAACCGAAGGACUGCCUGGGGCAUGGGCGCGCGGUCCUAAGACACUCGCUUCCUGAACACCAGGCGGGAGGCGACCAGCGAAAGGUGGACUGGGAGACCACCGUGCACCUGGGAGGCGCGGACCACCGGCGUGAGACAGCACCUGGGGCGCAGCGGCCAGAUCUGCACAGUGAUGGCACUUACUUCAGUUACGAGUUGCUCAGCGGACUGUGGAGUGACUGAACUAUACCCAUUCCCGUCAUGAUGCACACCCCUGAGGUUCCUCACCACACCUGUGUUCUGAUUAGAGGCAAAAUAAAUGACAUUCAAAACUUCCACUAAGGUACUAUAAGGUGAAAUGUUUCACAAGAAGAUACACUUAAAACAUCACUAAUUAUUGGAAAAAUGCAAAUCAAAACUACAGUGAAGUACCAUUGUACCUCAGAAUGGACAUCAUCACUUUUGUGGUGAGAUGGCAUCUGGUUUCUUUCUACAAGGAAAGUUUAGCACACAGCACAGUCCUUGAAACAUUGGAUUGGUUUGAUGAGCCUACCUGGAAUAGGUAUGUAAAACCUCCAGCAUAUGCUUCAUCUCUUUGAGUCAUAUCUGUGGAUGUGUAUCCACUUCUGCUUUUCUUGUUGUUAACUUAGAGUGGAGUUUGUUCUGAAGAGUAAAAUUCAUGUGUCGAAGGUGACUAUGUGUUUACAGUAUGAUCUACAAGACUCCUUCAUUUUCUUUGUAAUGUGAUAAAUACAUAUUAAGAGCAUUCAUUCCAGGAGAGAAGGGAAAUCCCAUGCUCGUAUGGUUCUGAAAAUAAUAAGAUUUAAUCUACAACUUGUGAAACUCAAGUGUGUAAAAUAUGAUGAUUCCCUGGCAUGUUUAUAAGAACGGCAUCUGUGGCUCAAAAGUCUAACAGGAAGAUAGAAACUUCUUUUUUUUUUUUCCAAAAUUAAUCCAGGCUUAGGAAAAACUGAGUACCAAAUUAUGAAAUGACUGCACAUGGGAAUUAAUUAAUGAUUCUUUGAUCUCUUAGGUUGUAGGAUAAGUACUCCCUUGGUGUAUCAUAUGACAUAAAAAAAUACGGUAUUUGACAGUUUUAUUAAUGAAUUCUCUUGAAGGAAAUAUUCUGAAAUUAGAUUCUCAUAAGAUAUAAGUCAUGUAGCUCCUGAUUUAACUCAGUUCAGACUCUUUGAUGAGUGCUGUGUGUGUGGUUGUGGGUGUGGGGGGGGAUGGGUGUGUUAUCACUAAGGGAUACUUUAUUAUUUGACUCAUUGCUUUGUUGUAUUCAACUUUUGAAAUAUUAUUGGGAAUAUGGUAGGCUCGUUGAAAUUCUGGUAUGUAUUUAGAGAAGUGUCUGAUCUAUAUAAAUUGUAUUUUCAAAAGCAAGACUCUAUGUAACAACUCCCCUGUCCACCCCCUCCCCUCAAAAAUGUCUACUGAAAACCACAUUUGGUAAGUGGCACAGACAGACUUGAGACUUAAUCAGAUAUAAAACCUAGCUUUACUCCUUAACCUAUGACCUUGAAAAAAAAAUGUUAUGCUUCCUUAGAAAGAGGUGGGGAGGGAGAGGAUGGAAGAAGGGAAAAAAAAUAAAUCCACAAUUACAAUGCACCAAAUUUACCAGGUCACCUUUCUUAUUAAUGAGGUAUCAAGGAAUUAAUGGAUAUGUUUCUAAGAGUCUCCAGAGAAUUUCAUUCCUACAUUCUGUGAGAGUCUGAAAUCCAUAAUUAGAGUUUAACCUCCCUGAUUUAAGGUCGAAGUUGCAACUGGUCACCUGCACAUUACAGCUAUCUUAGGUUUUUAUUUUACAGGGGUUGGUUUUUUCCUUUUUGGGUUUUUUUUGGCCUGUACAAAUUAAUACACAUGUGAUAUAAAAAAAUUGCCAAAUCAAAAAACUCAAGAGACUUCACAUAAAUCUUGGCUUUCUUUCUCUGCAAAUGGCACUACAGUUAAAGUAAUUGCUGGUGCCAAAAUUCUAGUUGUCAUACAAAUUUCCUCCAUCUUGGAGUUCCCUUUGUGGGUCAGUGGGUUAAGGUUCUGGUGUUGCCACUGCUUCGGCUCUGGUUACAGCUGUGGCCAGGUUCCGCCCCUGGCCUGGGAACUUCCGCAUUCCUGGAACUUUUGGGUGUGCCCCACGCAAAAAAAUUACUUACCUCUUCUUAACUUCUCUACAUCUAACCCAUCAAUUUCUCCAAAGCCUUGAUCCAACCUAGUGGUUCUCAACCUCAAUAUGAAAAGAUGAUUAUCUGGUUGCUCAGGUUGCACCUAGAAAAUUAAGUCAACAGUACUGAGAGUGGAGCUGGGCUUCAGAAUUUUAGAAAGCUCUUCAGAUGAUUCUGAUGUGCAGCCAAGGCGAGAACCACUGCUCUACUAUCUUUUUCUUAGCUAUUAGAUGCGUCAAAUGCCACCCCCUGCCAAGUGCAAGUUAAAUUCACCACUUUCUAAUAUUAUCAGUCUUCUACCAUUGUCCCUAUGUCACCGCAUCAUUUCUAUUCUAGUCCCUGUUCAAUCCUAUCUCCACCCAACAGCCAGAGAAACUGUUAUGAAUAGAAACUUGUGGGUUCAAUGCCUGCGUAAACUCUUCAAUAAUAGUAGCAGUAAUGGUAACAACUGGUGAUCAUUGAUACCUUGGUUGAGUAAAGAACCCAAGUUCAGGUUUUAUAGAACCCAAGUUCAGGUUCAAGUCAUGGUGGCAUUAGGUUUCAGGAACAGAUGGAGGAAAGGGCACAAAGGAGGUGACUGCAGAUACCAAGGAAAGUUUAUUCCAUUUCCACAUGGGUCCUGUAGCCUAAUCUGACAAUACCUUCUCCUUGCCUGCUCCUCCAGGCAGUGACCCAUAGGCUAAAAGUUUUACUGACUUCUCCUACAAGUUGCUGCCCAAGCAGUGUCCUGAUGUCAUACUGCCAUCAGGAGCAAAGGGAUUUAAUAGUUUGGCAGUGACAUUAUUAUAAGAUUCAUGUUACAGCACAGCUACCAAUGUGUUUUAAAUGUCACUCCUUCAUAGUUGCAUGAUUCACCCAGCAAAAUAAGUUGAUACUGGUAAAUUUUUAGGCGGGAUAACCAAACUAUGGAUGUGUGUUUGACGUUGGUAGUUAGACCUGGGAUCAUUUCUCCUUCCUCUCAGACAUAGAGUUUUUCCUUUUCAACAAUGAAUAACGUAUAUCAGGUUAUUUCUUUGAGCCGAAGUGGAGGGAUUUUCUUCUCAUGAUAACUGUAUAGUGACUAUGUAGACCAUAGAGGUAGAUACUGAAGUCUUUCCUUUUAGACUUCAGCCACCCCAUAACUGGAGAGAGUGCACGUGCCAUCGGAAGGGAGGAAGAUAAGAUAUCAUCAGAAAGUUUUCAUUAAGGACACCCUCUGACACACUGUGAUGUUAUUUUAUUCAGAGUUUAAAAAUAAAUCACUAAAUACAAACUGCUUUGAAGCUGAGUAGAAACUUUGCGUCCUUGUCGGCACCCCUUGUGCGCGGCCUAAUCAGCUUUAAUUUCACAGUGGUGACAAUUUUUUUCUUUUUAUAAUAAUUAAUUGUUCUUUUUUUCAUUUUUUAAAGUUGUAUUGAAGUAUCGUUGAUCAAUAAGGUUGUGAUCAUUUCUGCUGUACAACAAAGUGAUUCAGUGAUGCAUGUACACACAUCCAUUCUUUUUUCAGAUUCUUUUCCCAUGUGGAUUAUCACAGACUAUUGGGUAGAGUUCCCUGUGCUCUAUAACGUGUCCCUGUUGGCCAGUCAUUCCAUAUGCCUCAGUGUGCAUAUACCAAUCCCAAACCAAUAUAAAACCUUUGGUGUUUCACUACUGACAUUGUGAAAAGCUCAAGGAGCUGUGUUAAGACAAAAAUGUGCCUCAGAUGUUCAGGUAAUGGAAACUAAUAAAGAUGUUGUAAACUCAGUUACCUAGGUAUUGAAUUAAUGCUUCAGGCAUAGCUCUCUCCUUUACCUAAGUGGGUCUGUUUACCCAAAUAAUUUGUCUGCGCAGAGCCAUCCUACACUUAAGGAGACAGUUGAUGUUUUCAGCUCUCUCUGGAGUAUUUAUCCUGGGGGACAAAUGGAGAACAAAAUACAUGGAGAGGCCAGGCACACAUACACUGGGCAUCCUGGACCCAGUACAGGAUAGUGCUUAUUAAUGAGAUGCCUUUGUAUUUCCUUUGGGGACCAGGAUGGCUUGGCCUUGUGUACAAUUCUUCUCUGUGGUGAAUAGAGUUAUAAAAAGACCACAGAUUCUUUUCAUGCCAUUUUAGGAAUUUCUUUGAAAGGAUUCAAGCAGUGAAGCACAUUAUGUUUUAAGGUUCUGCAUUAGUAUAGGCAAAGCUUUUCCAAUAAGAUAAAGCCAUUUUUCUAAAUUCUUUAUGUCACUGAGUGCCCAGAAUCUGGACAGAGGGAAAUUAAAAUCUCUCUGAAAUCCACCAUAUUGCCACCACCAUAUGAAAUAGCUAUUGAGAGGGAAACUAAUAGUGUCUUAAAUGAACCUUGGGUUAAACAUACAUCCCUUUGCAUUUUCCAGUAUUGUUUUUCACUUACCUUUAACUCCUUUUCAAUCAGAAAAGUUCCCUAAGUUGAUUAGGAUUCAUUUUUAAAAAUCUAAUAUAAAAACGAGUACAUUUUUAUUAGAGGGAAGGCACGAUACAGAUGCUGAGUUGAUUGUGAGGAUUUGUAUUACGUUAUAUUAAUGAAUCAAAUGGCUCCCCAAAUAUACAUGUUUGUCAUAGGGAUUUACUGUUCUAUCAGACUUUUUCUUAUUCCCGUCAUUACUCUAGCACUUUGUGUUGACUUUUGAGAGUGAACAUUUUGGAACAAAAGAUAUAUUCUUCUAGGAUCCUCCAUGCUUGGACCACAUCAGACCUGAGUAAAUAUUUGUGAGAUGAAUGAUGAAUAAUUCAAAUGCAUUUUAAUUUUAGACACAAGCAGAUGAAAUUAUACCAAAGCUAGGAACUGAUUUAGCUGCUGAACUAGAUAUAUAAAAUAAUGAUCAAUAAAAAUGGUAAUUCCUCAGAUCAGAGACUAUGUCUGGUGUGCUCUGUUGCAAGCAGAGAGAUGGGCAUCAUUUUUAAAGGAUUUGGACAAAGUCAUAGGCCAGCAAAUCUAAUAUUUUGGUGAGCAGCUCAUCCUGAUUUCAUUAAGGCCUGGCUGUUCACUUCCCUCUUCUCCACCAGUGUUUUCAUCUUUAAAUUUUUUUUCUGCCAUAUUAGGGGGUGUUCUAGUCUAAAGACUCCUGAUUGAAGUGCCUUAUCUUUAAAAACUUUGCUAAGGGCAUGUGGGACAUUAAGAGGUAAAAUGCUACUGUGGCUCUGUAAGUAAUAGUCUUUUCAGAAACAGCUGCACUUGUGAAUAACUGAAUAAAGUCUAAUGUUGUCCAAGCAGGUUAUAUGCUACCCAAGUAAACCUCUAGGAAGUACUUGAGUUGUUUCUGUGCCCCCUUCUACUCAUCUGUUAAAUCUCUGACUUUUCUUGGCAAAGCUCAAACCCAAUUAAAGUCCAUAUGCUUUACAGUGCUUCACAUCUGCAUUUUAGAAAAAGAGCAGAUGACCCACAUGGAUGUUGGGUCUUAUCAGCCAACAGUAAUAUAAGCCUUUCAUACAUAAAAUUCUUUUUCUCAGCAGUUGUGAAAUUUCACUUUGAAAUUAGUUUUCAUUCUUAGUAUAACAACAUACUAUGUCUCAAGGAAUAAGUGAUUUCAUAUAUUUAGGAGCCCUAAACUAUAUUCCCAUAUUGGAGAGAGAUUUAAAGCAAAUUGGUUUAUUUCAUCUGAAUAGUAAUAAUAUAAUCAAUGAUAGCUGUGAAAUUAGGAACUUCCCCAUGUUUAACUUAGCCAUCUUAAUGUUCAAAUAUAUUUUUCUUUACAUUAUUAAUUUUUUCUUCCUUUCAACAUUUCCAUCCUCUACUGUUUACUUGUCUUUACUGAUAUGUCUUACUCUGGUUAAAAAAAAAAUACUCUACAUAGGUUAUAACAAGAAUAAAACAAUAAUUUUAAAUGGAAUAGAAAAUUAAAGCGGGACAAAUAUAAAUAAAACUGUAGAAUAAGAGAGAAAUAAGUAUCAGUCACAAUUAGGCAAAUCCUAAAGACCAGCCUUUGCUGCUGUUGAUCAUCAGACUUUAAGUUUGCUCGGGGAUAAUGCAAAAUUUUUGUGAGGCAGUUCUUUUGUCUGAAAAAAAAAAAAAGAUUUGCCUAACAUUAAAAUACUCCUUCUGUAAGAAAAGAAAUUAGGAGUUCCCAUCAUGGCUCAGUGGUUAACAAAUCGACUAGGAACCAUGAGGUUGCCGUUGCGGGUUCGAUCCCUGGACUCGCUCAGUGGGUUGAGGAUCCGGCGUUGCCGUGAGCUGUGGUAUAGGUCGCAGAUGCAGCUCGGAUCCCGAGUUGCUGUGGCUCUGGCAUAGGCCAGUGGCUACAGCUCCAAUUAGGCCCCUAGCCUGGGAACCUCCAUGUGCCACAGGAGCGGCCCUGG
rnacentral:lncRNA from 1 species